AGCAGCCGCGGUAAUUCCAGCUCCAAUAGCGUAUAUUAAAGUUGUUGCAGUUAAAAAGCUCGUAGUUGAAUUUCGGGAUCAAUAUGUUGGUCGUGCCUUGGUACGUACUGGCGUCAUUGGUUUCUACCUUCUGAAGAACCUCGAUGUCAUUAAUUUGGUGUCUUGGGGAAUCAGGACUGUUACUUUGAAAAAUUAGAGUGUUUAAAGCAAGCUCACGCUUGAAUACAUUAGCAUGGAAUAAUGAAAUAGGACGUUUGAUUCUAUUUUGUUGGUUUCUAGGAUCGACGUAAUGAUUAAUAGGGAUAGUUGGGGGCAUUAGUAUUCAAUUGUCAGAGGUGAAAUUCUUGGAUUUAUUGAAGACUAACUACUGCGAAAGCAUUUGCCAAGGAUGUUUUCAUUAAUACAAGAACGAAAGUUAGGGGAUCGAAGACGAUCAGAUACCGUCGUAGU
rnacentral:rRNA from 1 species